rnacentral:rRNA from 1 species
UACGGAGGGGGCGAGCGUUGUUCGGAUUUACUGGGCGUAAAGGGUGUGUAGGCGGCCGCGCAAGUCUGGUGUGAAAUCUUCACCGCUUAACGGGAAGAGGUCACUGGAAACUGCGUGGCUCGAGUGUGGUAGAGGCAAGCGGAAUUCCUGGUGUAGCGGUGGAAUGUGUAGAUAUCAGGAAGAACACCGGUGGCGAAGGCGGCUUGCUGGGCCACUACUGACGCUGAGACACGAAAGCGUGGGGAGCAAACGGGAGUAGAUACCCCGGUAGUCCACGCUGUAAACGGUGCGCACUAGGUGUGAGGGGUAUCGACCCCCCUUGUGCCGAAGUCAACACAUUAAGUGCGCCGCCUGGGGAGUACGGCCGCAAGGUUGAA